rnacentral:rRNA from 1 species
GAUGUGUAGGUGCUGCAUGGUUGUCGUCAGCUCGUGCCGUGAGGUGUCGGCUUAAGUGCCAUAACGAGCGCAACCUCAUCAUUAGUUACCAUCAGGUAAGGCUGGGGACUCUAAUGAGACUGCCAUCGUAAGAUGUGAGGAAGGUGGGGAUGACGUCAAAUCAGCACGGCCCUUACGUCCGGGGCGACACACGUGUUACAAUGGGUGGUACAAAGGGCAGCUACCUGGCGACAGGAUGCUAAUCUCCAAAACCACUCUCAGUUCGGAUCGGAGUCUGCAACUCGACUCCGUGAAGCUGGAUUCGCUAGUAAUCGCGCAUCAGCCACGGCGCGGUGAAUACGUUCCCGGGCCUU